AUGUUACCUGCAUUCUUGAUUUUAUUAAGACUUGUGGCAGAUUUUCAUGCCUUUAUGCUUGUAACGGAAUGGGAAUCAUCAGAGAUAGGAUCCAACAAAGGAAAAGCAUAUGAUAUGGUUAAUAUCUUAAACAAGGUUGUACAUUUUCAUGUAAGUACUCUUACUACUUUUGCUCAUGCAAUAGGCACAGUUGUGAAGCGUAAGCGAGGGAAGCUUCCGGCAGAUCUAGCAGAACCAGGCAAUGAAAUUCUCAUGGCAAGGGGUAGGCAAGGAGGGUGAGCCAUCCGUUUUCUUUUUCCAGCGUCUUGUAUCUGUGGUUCUCAAUAUUGAGUUUGAUGCAGUUAGCUACACUGAUGAUCUUCCUUUCUUGAUUUUCCAUGAAAUAUCAGUUCUUGUAGUUGAUUGAAUGGCAUUCUGGAAGGUUUUAAUUUACUGGAUUUUGGAAAAUAAGAUCUUUAGUUGAGCUUGGUAGAAAUGCCAGAACAUGGAAGGAAAAAAUUGAUGGCUUUAACCACAAUUGUAAUGAGAGAUGACAGCGAUAAGGACUAACAGCUGCUGGGUUAUCACUGUUUAGGGUAUUCUAUGAAUGUGAAGCACAAUCACCUCCUUUUUGUUCCCUGGGUUAGCUCAGUUGCCACGCAAUGCGCUGAGAAAUUAAAAGCGUGGGUAGCCAUAAGAUCAAAGCAAGACCGAAAAUUGCCACCAGAGAUCCAGUCACAAUCCAUGAGCUCCCAGUGCAUGUUAACUUUCCUAACCUAAUCUGAACCAUAUGGAUCAUUGACAACGUUAGUAAGACACAACCUGCAAUAGUACCUACUGCAGCAAUUAUCAACAUCAAGCAGCUGGUCUUUAGUACAAAAUUGGUGUUGUGCUUAUUCUUAAUGACAUAGAAGUGAAGCUUCAGUGUCUUGGCUAGCAGGGUGGACAGAAGGAAGAAACUGAAUGAUAAAAUUUCAAAUACCACCAGCCUCUUUGCGAUCCCUGCAUCUGGCUUACAUUCUACUCUGGUCUUGAGAGUUUCAGUUCUAAAGGAAAAUGGUAAUCCGAUGAAGACCGCUGAUGUGAAGAGCGCGUUCACAUUAAUAAUGUUGUCUAAUACUUUCUUGUAAACGGCUAGCAUUUCAGUUCUUGUUGCCCUUGAACGCCACAGAGUUACAUAGGAAGAAAAGAUCAGUGCCUAAUAAAACUCUUGACACAUGUAAGAAGAAAAAUAAAAGAGAUGGAAGAUAGAUAUACUUAUGCUCCAUGACAGAUAUUAUGAUGCUUCUUCUUCUUCUUCUUCUUCUAUUGGUUGAGCACAAUGU